GGGGAAGAGUAGUAUGUACUUGGUUGAUAUUAUACAUUCUGGAAAAUACUUGUCAGAUAAAAUCCAAGUUGCUAUAGGUGUGUUGAUAUAUCCCCGGUGAGAUUGUGUAUUGAAUACAAAUACUCUACUUGGCUGAUGAUACAAGAUAUAACUAGAAGUCCACAAGAUUGAUGAAAGUGUAACCUCAUCGCAGUUGAUUUCUUGUGUGUAAGCAAGACUACCAAACCAUACUACACCUUAUAGUGAGAUUUUCCACGUUAUACUGAUAUCAUUGGGUUUUCAGUACAAAGGUUGGUUUUAGUUUUGUUUGUCUUAACAUGUUUGUAUCUAAAUUUCUUGUACAGAGAUGUUCCAUUCAACUAUUAAUGGUUUAUAAA
rnacentral:misc_RNA from 1 species